GAGGGUAUAGCUCAGUGGUAGAGUGUGUGCUUUGCACGCAUGACGACCUGGGUUCAAUCCCCAGUACCUCUA
rnacentral:tRNA from 1 species